rnacentral:pre_miRNA from 1 species
UUAACUUAACUUCGUAUGGAGUUGGAUCGUUUGCCUACGUUUGCCGCUAGGGGCGCUGUUCCAACUGCAUACAAAUUUGAGUUA